AAAGGCUCAGCACAUUGCUCCAAAAUUAGCUCUGAAUAGUGCAAUAUUUUUUCCUUUGUCGAGUACCUAAGUCUUCUAAUUGUUGGGAUUCAUAGCUUGAGACUCAGCCUGAGAAGCUUCCCCAAAACUAGCACUCAAGAGGGAUUUGUGGUAAUAUGAUGAAAAAGGAUCUCUUUACCAGGUAUCUUUUAUUAUUUCUAUUGAAGCAGAUAAAUCAAUAGUCUAGUGGAUUUAUUAUCUUUUUUCUUUCUUUGUAUUUAGCUAUGUGUUCCAAGAAGUAUUAAAAAUUAAAGAUCAUGGAAUGAAAUGGACAUCAAUACACUAGGCAUGUGUACGAUUGCAUGAAUGGUGUGACUCUACAUCAUGUCCAACCAGAGAAAUGAAAAGUUGUGCUCCAUCUGUGUACAAUGAAUCAGAAUUCAUUCUACUGUCAUGUAUAACUAAUUAGAAC
rnacentral:lncRNA from 1 species